rnacentral:rRNA from 1 species
AUACGUAGGGGGCGAGCGUUGUCCGGAAUGAUUGGGCGUAAAGGGCGCGUAGGCGGCCCGGUAAGUCUGGAGUGAAAGUCCUGCUUUUAAGGUGGGAAUUGCUUUGGAUACUGUCGGGCUUGAGUGCAGGAGAGGUAAGUGGAAUUCCCAGUGUAGCGGUGAAAUGCGUAGAGAUUGGGAGGAACACCAGUGGCGAAGGCGACUUACUGGACUGUAACUGACGCUGAGGCGCGAAAGUGUGGGGAGCAAACAGGAUUAGAUACCCGGGUAGUCCACACUGUAAACGAUGAAUGCUAGGUGUAGGGGGUAUCGACCCCUUCUGUGCCGCAGUUAACACAAUAAGCAUUCCGCCUGGGGAGUACGGCCGCAAGGUUGAAACUCAAAUGAAUUGACGGGG